CUCAUGGCUGAGAAGUCCAAAAUCAAAUCAUCCAAUAAAUUAAGCUAGAGAAAAGAAAAUGUAUUCCUUUAGCUGCCAUCCUGCCUCCCUGUGUGCUUCUAAUCUCAGCUGGUCUCACCCGGGACUCCCCAAGUGCCAACCCUAGUCCCCCACGCAGCCCCUUUUCCACUCAGAUAAGAUGAAAGAAACAAUCAUUCAGUACCCCUGUAUUUUUAGUGACUGAAAUCAUGAAAAUUCUGGUCAGGUCCUGUCUUGUCUUGCUUGCACAUGUUAACCACUCCCUCUUUGACCAAUAUCCCUUUUUCCCCACAAUACAAUAUAAAAUGGGGAUAAUGGAUUUUUUGUUAGAAUUAAAUAUUACAUCAGAUUUGCCCCAGGUUCAAGCAAUUCUCCCACCUCAGCUUCCUGAGUAGCUGGGAUUACAGGUACCCACCACCACACCCGGCUAAUUUUUGUAUUUUUAGUAGAGAUGGGGUUUUGCCACCUUGGCCAGGCUGUUCUUGAACUGCUGACCUCAAGUGAUCCAUCUGCCUUGGUCUCCCAAAGUGCUGGGAUUACGGGCAUGAGCCACCACACCUGGUCAAUGAAUAGAACAUUGAUU
rnacentral:lncRNA from 10 species